rnacentral:rRNA from 1 species
GCAAGUCGAACGAGAAAUUACUCUUCGGAGUAAUAGUAAAGUGGCGAACGGGUGAGUAACACGUAAGAACCUGUCCUCAGGUUUGGGAUAACAUCGCGAAAGCGGUGCUAAUACCGGAUGAUAUCUACGGAUCAAAGGAGGCUUCGGCUUCCGCCAGAGGAGGGGCUUGCGGCUCAUUAGCUUGUUGGUGAGGUAACGGCUCACCAAGGCGACGAUGGGUAGCCGGCCUGAGAGGGUGUCC